rnacentral:rRNA from 1 species
UAGCCGGACUGAGAGGUUGAACGGCCACAUUGGGACUGAGACACGGCCCAGACUCCUACGGGAGGCAGCAGUGGGGAAUAUUGCACAAUGGGGGAAACCCUGAUGCAGCGACGCCGCGUGGAGGAAGAAGGUCUUCGGAUUGUAAACUCCUGUUGUUGAGGAAGAUAAUGACGGUACUCAACAAGGAAGUGACGGCUAACUACGUGCCAGCAGCCGCGGUAAAACGUAGGUCACAAGCGUUGUCCGGAAUUACUGGGUGUAAAGGGAGCGCAGGCGGGAAGACAAGUUGGAAGUGAAAUCUAUGGGCUCAACCCAUAAACUGCUUUCAAAACUGUUUUUCUUGAGUAGUGCAGAGGUAGGCGGAAUUCCCGGUGUAGCGGUGGAAUGCGUAGAUAUCGGGAGGAACACCAGUGGCGAAGGCGGCCUACUGGGCACCAACUGACGCUGAGGCUCGAAAGUGUGGGUAGCAAACAGGAUUAGAUACCCUGGUAGUCCACACCGUAAACGAUGAUUACUAGGUGUUGGAGGAUUGACCCCUUCAGUGCCGCAGUUAACACAAUAAGUAAUCCACCUGGGGAGUACGACCGCAAGGUUGAAACUCAAAGGAAUUGACGGGGGCCCGCACAAGCAGUGGAGUAUGUGGUUUAAUUCGACGCAACGCGAAGAACCUUACCAAGUCUUGACAUCCUGCGACGAUGCUGGAAACAGUACUUUCCUUCGGGACGCAGAGACAGGUGGUGCAUGGUUGUCGUCAGCUCGUGUCGUGAGAUGUUGGGUUAAGUCCCGCAACGAGCGCAACCCUUACUGUCAGUUACUACGCAAGAGGACUCUGGCAGGACUGCCGUUGACAAAACGGAGGAAGGUGGGGAUGACGUCAAAUCAUCAUGCCCUUUAUGACUUGGGCUACACACGUACUACAAUGGCGUUAAACAAAGAGAAGCAAGACCGCGAGGUGGAGCAAAACUCAGAAACAACGUCCCAGUUCGGACUGCAGGCUGCAACUCGCCUGCACGAAGUCGGAAUUGCUAGUAAUCGUGGAUCAGCAUGCCACGGUGAAUACGUUCCCGGGCCUUGUACACACCGCCCGUCACACCAUGAGAGCCGGGGGGACCCGAAGUCGGUAGUCUAACCGCAAGGAGGACGCCGCCGAAGGUAAAACUGGUGAUUGGGGUGAAGUCGUAACAAGGUAG